rnacentral:lncRNA from 1 species
ACCCACGCGGCGCUCUGCCUGCCCCCGGGUGCCGUCCGCGGCGGUUCGAUUGGAGCAGCCGCCGAAUAGCGCUUGGCGCCAUUUUGAAGCGGAGAGGAGGAGGAACGGCCGGGCUCGCUGCGGAAGGGGAGGGGGGGGGAGGAGGCGAUUGGAUGCGGCGGCGGCGGCGGAUCCCGGAGAGCAGCGGAGUGAGAGGAGUAGCGAGUCGGCCACCCGGAGUUUUCAUGUCUUUGGCCAUUUUAAUGGAUUCGGGGAAGAGGAGAGAGAAAUGUUAUUAUGAAGUUGACCACUGUAAAAUCAG